rnacentral:rRNA from 1 species
GAGUGCCCGAAAGGGAACCAUUACACAGGUGCUGCAUGGCUGUCGUCAGCUCGUGUCGUGAGAUGUUGGGUUAAGUCCCGCAACGAGCGCAACCCUUGUCAUUAGUUGCUACGAAAGAGCACUCUAAUGAGACUGCCGGUGACAAACCGGAGGAAGGUGGGGAUGACGUCAAGUCCUCAUGGCCCUUAUGGGUAGGGCUUCACACGUCAUACAAUGGUACAUACAGAGCGCCGCCAACCCGCGAGGGGGAGCUAAUCGCAGAAAGUGUAUCGUAGUCCGGAUUGUAGUCUGCAACUCGACUGCAUGAAGUUGGAAUCGCUAGUAAUCGCGGAUCAGCAUGUCGCGGUGAAUACGUUCCCGGGUCUUGUACACACCGCCCGUCACACCAUGGGAGCGGGUUUUACCAGAAGUAGGUAGCUUAACCGCAAGGAGGGCGCUUACCACGGUAGGAUUCGUGACUGGGGUGAAGUCGUAACAAGGUAGCCGUAUCGGAAGGUGCGGCUGGAUCACCUCCUUUCUAG